rnacentral:rRNA from 1 species
GACGAACGCUGGCGGCGUGCUUAACACAUGCCAGUCGAACGGAAAGGCCCUGCUUUUGUGGGGUGCUCGAGUGGCGAACGGGUGAGUAACACGUGAGUAACCUGCCCUUGACUUUGGGAUAACUUCAGGAAACUGGGGCUAAUACCGGAUAGGAGCUCCUGCUGCAUGGUGGGGGUUGGAAAGUUUCGGCGGUUGGGGAUGGACUCGCGGCUUAUCAGCUUGUUGGUGGGGUAGUGGCUUACCAAGGCUUUGACGGGUAGCCGGCCUGAGAGGGUGACCGGCAACAUUGGGACUGAGAUACGGCCCAGACUCCUACGGGGUGCAGCAGUGGAGAAUAUUGCACAAUGGGCGGAAGCCUGAUGCAGCAACGCCGCGUGCGGGAUAACGGCCUUCGGGUUGUAAACCGCUUUCGCCUGUGACGAAGCGUGAGUGACGGUAAUGGGUAAAGAAGCACCGGCUAACUACGUG